rnacentral:lncRNA from 1 species
CACAUUUCCAGGUCCAUGCUCUUUCUACUGCAUCCUGCUGACAAGAAGGGAAAGUGUGGGAACUGAUGGAGGUUCGGCAGGCUCUGUUGUCAGCCCAACAAAAGCACCAAAGAAGUUUCCUGGCUGACAUUUUACUACAUCAUCAUGUACGGCGAACUGGAUUGUGAAUGCCCUUAGAUGCCACUGGAAGGGAUUUAGAUUUCACUUUCUAAGUAGGCAAUGCGAGUCCCUUCAGAGAUUGUGAAGUGGAAGAAUAUCAUGAUCAAAUCUGUGUGGCUGGUGAAUAGAGACAAAUCUGAUGUCUGGG